rnacentral:lncRNA from 1 species
UGAAGCAUGCAAAAGAAACUGUAUCCGAGAGCCCUUAAAGAGAAAACAGAGAAACAUGUAUGUACUGAAAUAAGUCUCCCAACAAUUUGAUCAGAUUUAUUUGAUACUGUGCAGUAUUCAUCUUUUAGCUUGCUCCACUGGGCUCCCCAAGGUUGGCACUUCUAGUAUCAAUGGUUCUCUAAAAGGGUAAGGAUUCGUGUUACGAUAGGGUUAGGGC